rnacentral:tRNA from 1 species
GGAAAAUUAGUUAAAUUUAUAUAAUAUAAGUAUGUCAAACUUAAGUAACUAUUAUUAGUAUUUUCUU